AAGAUACUAGUAUAGCAAAUACACUGCCUUGUCAAGGCAGAAUCGUGGGUUAAAACCCCGCGUAUCUUG
rnacentral:tRNA from 1 species